CAGCAGUCACUGUCCCAGUCACCCGGGCCCCUGUGGACCAGUUCGCAGCAUGUGGCUUUUCUCCACGUUGAUCUGUUUCAUCAGCUUUGCUUUUCUUGAGGUUGGCGUGGGGUCUAAUUGGGGAGCCCGGCCUCUCCCGUGCACGCUGCGUGUUCUCCCGUGUUUGCUGCUGUCACCGUCAUCUGCUUUUAGGAAGAUGCCUGGCACUCUUGGCGCCUCGCCUGGUCGCUGCUCAGCCCUAGGUGGCUGCACGAGGCUUUGCUCUGGCGGUUCCUCCUCGUGGGGCUCUCCCGUCAGACGGCAGUGGCGGUCUGUCUGCCCCCCGGGCUCUCUGCUCUGCAGCUGCGGCCUUGUCACUGGGCUUCCUUUUCCUGGGCAGCAGUCUCUCCUCCUCCCUCCGUCACGCGGGCCUUGACCUAUUUGCCGCCAGGGACAUGAGCAACAGGCUUCCUGCCCUGGUCCCGCCCCGCAAAGGGUGCAUCUUGCCGCAGCACAGACCGAACACGUACCGCCUGGUGCGGGGUGAGCCGGCUGGAGUUGCACGUGCCCUCACUGACCAUUUGCAGAGCGCCGCGUGUGAGCGGUCGGCGUGCGCGUGUCCUCUGUGUACAGCUGUGGGUCCCGGUCCCCUGCCCGUUACUGGACUGAAGCGUUGGUGUUUUCUGUGUUGUUGGCAAACCCUCACCCAGGGUCUCGGGAGCGUGCUCCUGGGACAUCUCUCAGGACCUGGGCAGACACCGCCCCUGCACUGGGGCUGGGAGUUGUCCCCGGGACCCGAGCAGCCCCGUCGGCAGGGCCCGCGGCCUCCGCGGCCCAGCGAGGCAGCCGCGUCUGUGGGUGGCCGCAGACCUGGGCGCCGUGCGGUGCGGCCGCUUCUCCAAAACCCCCCGGAGUGGCGGGGCGGAGCCGCUCACCCGCACCCCCUGGUGCCCGCAGGAGGCGGUGGAGCAGGUGGCGAGGCACGUGCACUCCCUGUCGGGCAAGAAGGACGGGCUGGUGCCCAUGUUCAUCAACACCAACAGCGGGCUCUUCACCCACCUGGGCGUGUUCACCUUGGGCGCCAGGGCCGACAGCUACUACGAGUACCUGCUGAAGCAGUGGAUCCAGGGCGGGAAGACGGAGACGCAGCUGCGGGACGACUACCUGGAAGCCGUGGAGGGGAUCAGGAGGCACCUCCUGGGCAGGUCGGAGCCCCGGAAGCUCACCUUCGUGGGGGAGCUUGCCCACGGCCACUUCAGCGCCAAGAUGGUGAGCAGGAGCCUGGUCCAGCGG
rnacentral:lncRNA from 1 species